ensembl:lncRNA
AUCUCUGGAGAUUGCUCCUCUUGGACACUUUUUCUGGUGAGCCCAGGACACGGAAAAACAGCUCGAGGAGCAACGGGAGGAAACACAGCUCUAUCCUGCAGCGAGGGGGUCUGCGCAGGAGCACUCUUGUGGGUAGCAUUCACAGUUUAGGCUGGUCAUUAUCUCAGCAGUUUGAGAGGAAGUGAUGGUCCCCUCCCGAUCUUGAGAGACAUUGGUUAUGAAUAGGAGCAGUGAUGGAAUCGCAGCUCUCCUGCUGAGAGUGAAAUCUCUUCCUGAUUGAAGUCCGUGACAAAACUCCCAUCAGCUUCAAAAGAGAAAGAUCUCAGCACGGCAACUUGAAUGCCUCUGAAAUCCACCCUCUGGCUGCCUAGAAAGGUCAAGGUUUUCUGAAGGAAAAGAAGAAGAAUAAGAUUAAAGUUGUGAAUGGCAUAAAGAGGAAGCUGUUAGAUAAGUUCACAGUUCAUUGCUAAAUCUGUGUUUAUUAAGGAAGCUGACUUUUGUGAAAGCUAAUGUAGGCAUUCAACUGGCUUAGGUAUCUCUGAUCAUAAUGAGAAUAGAAUUAUUUCUCCUUUGGUCUGAUAUUAUGGAAACAAAUAUUUAAGAUGUAAUUGACACAAGCAUUAUUUGCAGUGCAAUUAUGGUUGUUAAUUUAAUGAGAACACUCUGCAGAAAGAAGCCAAAGUUUUCCAGGCCUUGCACCUGCUAAGCUUUUAAAGAUCUCAUAAGUGCCAUUCUUUGAGGUGUUCAUCAGUGUUGCAAAGAAAGUCCUCAGGAAAAAGUGCAUACAAUUAUUUAAAAUCUUUUGAAAAUGAGAAAUGAAAGCCUGAAGAUUUUGGUGUGAACUUAGUAGUUGCUUGGUGUAUGCACAAGAAGUUUAGCCUCUAUAUCUAAAUCUUGUCUCUGAAUUGCAGUAACAUCUCAUAGUUUGACUUUAGUACUCAGCAAUAAGGGGAAAAAAAGAAAAAAAUAUAUUUCGUUUCUCUUUCCUUUACCGGAGCAAAGCAGGGCCCUGUCAUAUUUAUGGAGUUAGGGAAGUUUAAGACUUUUAUUGCUUGGAGGGAGCUUCAGAUUUAUGGGUUAAGGGAAGUUUAAGGGGUUUGUUAGUUUAAGGGGGUGUAGCUUCCUAAAUAAAGCCACAAGCAAACUCACUAAACCAGUGUAUCUCUUCAGUGCAUAAACAGAAUGCCCUCUGUGAGCAAGAUGCUGGGAGAGCUCAACAGAGCAAGCUGCAAAGGGCUGAAAUAUCUCUGCAGCCACAGGAGCUCCUGUGUUGUAUGAGGCCUCCUAUGUACCAGUUCUCUCCUCAGGACAGGUUUUUUUCUGGGAUGGUUCUUCUGUGAAGAGUCUUCAGGAUGGUGGCUGAGGAGGAAGGCUGGGCUCAGGAACCGGCCCUAAUGACAGACCUUAUAGGGCUUUCAAGAGAGGAACAGAGGCUGUGCUAAAGGCAGGACACCCUGUACUGAAACAUCUGGCUGGGCUCAGGUGGACCUGGAAAGAGUGCUAACUUCCAAGUGCUGUAGAAACCAUUACUCUGAGAGAGCCUAAUAAGUUAGAUUUCAGGGAAGAGAUGUUGGUUAAAACAGACCAUGAUCAGCACCACGCUUCUCAUUCCAGCUGCUUUAACUCAUGUUUCAUCAGCUAGCUUACACAUCACAGUUAAGCAGCAACUGCAAAGCAAUAGCUGUGUCAAGGCUGCUUGGGAGCUCCUCAUGUCCUCGCUGUCAAAGCAAGCAAAACUAAAUGCUACGAUGAAGCUUGGGGUUGUAACUACUUGUUCAAGAGCAGGCUUGCAUUGCUGUUUCCUUUAUUGCUUUCCUUCCACUUUAUUUCAGUUAUUUUACAGAGUCUUUUUUGUUGUUGUUGUUUGUGAAUUAUACAAAAGAGUAAAUGAAACCCAAAAUGGAUGUAACAGAAUUAUCUGCAGGUCUAACAAGUCCUAAAACUGAGUUCAUGGGAAGGAAGUCACAUCCCUGAAUUCUACAAUUGAAAGGUUACUUCUCAGUCUUAAUAUUUGGCAACAAAAUGCUUUGAGCCUUACGAUGACCUACUGUGAGUGGAGCUCAUGCAUGGAUGACGACCCUCCUCCAAGAAGCCCACUUGGAACAGUGGCACAAAGUUGUGGAUAGUCUGUCUGUGGCUUGGUCAGUGUAGUAUUUUGAUUUGAGUGUGUUCUUGGUAUUAAACGUGGAAAAUAGUGCUAUACUUCGUUUCUACAUGCUAACCCGAGCAGAGCUCUGUGUGGCAUG